UGAGGUGUGAUCGAUGUUGAAUGCUUUCAGCGAGAGUUUUAGGGUGUCUUUAAAUCUCUUCUUCUGGCCACCUUUGCAGCGUUUUCCGUGCUGAAGCUCACCAAACAGAAGUUUCUUAGGAAGCCGUUCAUCAGGCAUACGAGCUACGUGCCCCGCCCAGCGGAGCUGAGACUGUUUCAGGAUGGUGUGAAUGCUGGGCAGACCUGCACGUGCAAGGACCUCAGUAUCCGGGAUCUUUUCUUGCCAGCGAACAUUGAGAAUUUUCCUCAGACAGCCUUCCAAAUGCGGCGCUUGCUAUGGCGAGUCUGUUGGUAACUUCGUCAUCGAGGACAACGUUUCUGGAGAGAGUACUGCCAAGGUAGGUAAAUUUGUCAACAGCAUUGAGUUUUUGACCAUUGAUGAUGAUGUUAGGUUCAGUGUAGGGCUUUCCAGGCGCUGGCUGAUGCAUAGCCUCCGUCUUUUUGGUGUUUAUUUUGAGGCCGAAGUUGUUACAGGCACUAGAAAACAGAUCUACGCUGUGUUGCAGGUCUGCUUGAGAGGUAGCAUUGAGGGCACAAUCGUCAGC